rnacentral:rRNA from 1 species
AGAGUUUGAUCAUGGCUCAGGACGAACGCUGGCGGCGCGCUUAACACAUGCAAGUCGAGCGAGAACCAGACCUUCGGGUCUGGGGACAGCGGCGAACGGGUGAGUAACACGUGGGUAAUCAACCCUCGGUACUGGGAUAGCCCGGGGAACCCGGAUUAAUACCGGAUGGCCCUUCGGAUCUUCGGUUCCGAAGGAAAAGGUAGCUUCGGCCUCCGACCGAGGACGAGCCCGCGGCGGAUUAGCUUGUUGGUGAGGUAACGGCCUACCAAGGCGACGAUCUGUAGCUGGUCUGAGAGGACGAUCAGCCACACUGGGACUGAGACACGGCCCAGACUCCUACGGGAGGCAGCAGUGGGGAAUCUUGCGCUAAUGCGGGAAACCGUGACGCAGCGACGCCGCGUGGGGGAAGAAGGCCUUCGGGUUGUAAACCUCUUUCAGGAGGGACGAAGCUACUCGGGUUAAUAGCCCAGAGGGUGACGGUACCUCCAGAAGAAGCCCCGGCUAACUACGUGCCAGCAGCGGCGGUAAUAC